GCGUCUGAUUAGCCAGUUGGCGGGGUAACGGCCCACCAAAGCGACGAUCAGUAGCCGACCUGAGAGGGUGACCGGCCACAUUGGGACUGAGACACGGCCCAAACUCCUACGGGAGGCAGCAGUGGGGAAUAUUGCACAAUGGGCGGAAGCCUGAUGCAGCGACGCCGCGUGAGUGAAGAAGUAUCUCGGUAUGUAAAGCUCUAUCAGCAGGGAAGAAAAUGACGGUACCUGACUAAGAAGCCCCGGCUAACUACGUGCCAGCAGCCGCGGUAAUACGUAGGGGGCAAGCGUUAUCCGGAUUUACUGGGUGUAAAGGGAGCGUAGACGGCGACGCAAGUCUGGAGUGAAAGCCCGGGGCCCAACCCCGGGACUGCUUUGGAAACUGUGCUGCUGGAGUGCAGGAGAGGUAAGUGGAAUUCCUAGUGUAGCGGUGAAAUGCGUAGAUAUUAGGAGGAACACCAGUGGCGAAGGCGGCUUACUGGACUGUAACUGACGUUGAGGCUCGAAAGCGUGGGGAGCAAACAGGAUUAGAUACCCUGGUAGUCCACGCC
rnacentral:rRNA from 1 species